GUGCUGGCUUUGGCAUCACAUAUACUAAAAUUGGAAUGAUACAGAGAGUAUUAACAUGGCCUCUCCACUAGAUGACACACAAAUUUGUGAAAAGUUCUUAAUUUUU
ensembl:snRNA U6 U6 spliceosomal RNA